AACGCACAUUGCGCCCCUUGGUAUUCCAUGGGGCAUGCCUGUUCGAGCGUCAUCUACACCCUCAAGCUCUGCUUGGUGUUGGGCGUCUGUCCCGCCUCUGCGCGUGGACUCGCCCCAAAUUCAUUGGCAGCGGUCUUUGCCUCCUCUCGCGCAGCACAUUGCGCUUUAGAGGGGUGUGGGCCGCGUCCACGAAGCAACAUUAUCGUCUUUGACCUCGGAUCAGGUAGGGAUACCCGCUGAACUUAA
rnacentral:misc_RNA from 1 species